rnacentral:rRNA from 1 species
UCAGACACGUCAGAGUUUGAUCCUGGCUCAGGAUGAACGCUAGCUACAGGCUUAACACAUGCAAGUCGAGGGGCAGCAUGAUCGAAGCUUGCUUUGAUUGAUGGCGACCGGCGCACGGGUGCGUAACGCGUAUGUAACCUGCCUGUCAGAAGGGAAUAACCCGGUGAAAGUCGGACUAAUACCCUAUAUGCUCACGAGAGGCACCUGCCUUGGUGAGGAAAGAUUUAUCACUGACAGAUGGACAUGCGUCCCAUUAGCUUGUUGGUAGGGUAACGGCCUACCAAGGCAACGAUGGGUAGGGGAACUGAGAGGUUUAUCCCCCACAUUGGUACUGAGACACGGACCAA